CCUACGGGAUGCAGCAGUGGGGGAUAUUGCACAAUGGGGGAAACCCUGAUGCAGCGACGCCGCGUGUGGGAAGACGGUCCUCUGGAUUGUAAACCACUGUCCCCAGGGACGAAGAUGACGGUACCUGGGGAGGAAGCUCCGGCUAACUACGUGCCAGCAGCCGCGGUAAUACGUAGGGAGCGAGCGUUGUCCGGAAUUACUGGGGGGAAAGGGAGCGUAGGCGGGACUGCAAGUUGGGUGUCAAAUCUACCGGCUCAACCGGUAGCCGCACUCAAAACUGCAGUUCGUGAGUGAAGUAGAGGCAGGCGGAAUUCCUAGUGUAGCGGUGAAAUGCGUAGAUAUUAGGAGGAACACCAGUGGCGAAGGCGGCCUGCUGGGCUUUUACUGACGCUGAGGCUCGAAAGUGUGGGGAGCAAACAGGAUUAGAUACCCCAGUAGUC
rnacentral:rRNA from 1 species